AACCUGUUUUAUAAUCGAUAAUCCACGAUGGACCUUACUUAAAUUUGUAUUCAGCUUAUAUACCGUCGUUAUUAGAAUAUUUUAUUAGAAAGUUAAUUUUCAAGAUUUUUAUAAGAAAAGAUAUCAGAUCAAGGUGUAGUUUAUGUUUAAGUAAAAAUGGGUUACAAUAAAAUUAUUUAAAUGAAUAUAAAUUUGAAAUUUUUAUUGAAGGUGGAUUUGAUAGUAAAAUUAUAAAGAUUAAUAAUUUGAUUUAAGCUCUAAAAUAUGCACACAUCGCCCGUCACUCUUACUAUUAAGGUAAGAUAAGUCGUAAC
rnacentral:rRNA from 1 species